rnacentral:rRNA from 1 species
AGAUUGAACGCUGGCGGCAUGCCUUACACAUGCAAGUCGAACGGUAACGCGGGGCAACCUGGCGACGAGUGGCGAACGGGUGAGUAAUGCAUCGGAACGUGCCCAGUAGUGGGGGAUAGCUCGGCGAAAGCCGGAUUAAUACCGCAUACGACCUAAGGGUGAAAGCGGGGGACCGUAAGGCCUCGCGCUAUUGGAGCGGCCGAUGUCAGAUUAGGUUGUUGGUGGGUAAAAGCCUACCAAGCCGACGAUCUGUAGCUGGUCUGAGAGGACGACCAGCCACACUGGGACUGAGACACCGGCCCAGACCUCCGUACGGGAGCAGCAGGUGGGGUAAUUUGGGAACAAGGUGGGGGACCUAACCCGUGACUACCAGCCAGUCGCCGGCGUGGACGGGAAGACGGUCCGUUCGGGUUACGGUAAACCGUCGUUUUGUACGAAGGAAGAACGCUACGUACGGUUAAC